rnacentral:rRNA from 1 species
UAAGGAAUAUUGGUCAAUGGACGCAAGUCUGAGCCAGCCAUGCCGCGUGAAGGAUGAAGGUUCUCUGGAUUGUAAACUUCUUUUAUCUGGGACGAAAACGGGAUUUUUAUCUCAAUUGACGGUACCAGAGGAAUAAGCACCGGCUAACUCCGUGCCAGCAGCCGCGGUAAUACGGAGGGUGCGAGCGUUAUCCGGAUUUACUGGGUUUAAAGGGUGCGUAGGUGGGCUUAUAAGUCAGUGGUGAAAUCUCCGAGCUUAACUUGGAAACUGCCGUUGAUACUAUAGGUCUUGAAUUAUCUGGAGGUCAGCGGAAUACGUCAUGUAGCGGUGAAAUGCUUAGAUAUGACAUAGAACACCAAUUGCGAAGGCAGCUUACUACAUAUAAAUUGACGCUGAGGCACGAAAGCGUGGGGAUCAAACA